GUUGAGGGGAAUGUCGUCUGGCUCGAGAUCAUUUAUGCAAGUGGCCUCAGGCAUAACUCGAUGAAUGAUUUCGGACCAGGCUUCAUUCCCCUCAAC